rnacentral:sRNA from 1 species
AUAUAAAAUCUAUUAAUACGUGACGAUAUACUACGGUAGAAAUUCUAGAUAAAACAAUCAAAAAUUUAACCUGUCGUAUAAAGUUUAAAUAUUAUAAUGUUUAAACUUAUUAUAAAGAAUCGAGAUGUGUUUUUAAAAAAUUAAAGUUUUAAGUUUAUUUGUUUUGUUAAUAUUGUUAAUUUUGUUGGGAGAUGUGCAAAACUACCCUUCUCUUACUACUCUUUUGUAACAAUACCCUUUUAUGUUGUACAUUUUUAAAAAUACCCCUUCCCUUGAACAGAAUGACCAAAUUACCCUCUUCUAAUAGGAACAUGUAAUUGAAAACUGAAAUUUUCCCGCCAAAUUUUUUUUUUUUUGCCAAAAAAAAAAUUUCCGCCAAACUUUUUUCUCGCCAAAAAACAAAUUUCCCUCCAAAAUUGUUUUUCGUAACAAAUUUUUUCUCAGCCAAAAAAAAACUUUUAAAAAU